rnacentral:rRNA from 1 species
GAUGAACGCUGGCGGCGUGCCUAAUACAUGCCAGUCGAGCGAACAGACGAGGAGCUUGCUCCUCUGACGUUAGCGGCGGACGGGUGAGUAACACGUGGAUAACCUACCUAUCAGACUGGGAUAACUUCGGGAAACCGGAGCUAAUACCGGAUAAUAUAUUGAACCGCAUGGUUCAAUAGUGAAAGACGGUUUUGCUGUCACUUAUAGAUGGAUCCGCGCCGCAUUAGCUAGUUGGUAAGGUAACGGCUUACCAAGGCAACGAUGCGUAGCCGACCUGAGAGGGUGAUCGGCCACACUGGAACUGAGACACGGUCCAGACUCCGACGGGAGGCAGCAGUAGGGAAUCUUCCGCAAUGGGCGAAAGCCUGACGGAGCAACGCCGCGUGAGUGAUGAAGGUCUUCGGAUCGGAAAACUCUGUUAUUAGGGAAGAACAAAUGUGUAAGUAACUAUGCACGUCUUGACGGUACCUAAUCAGAAAGCCACGGCUAACUACGUG